AUCAUUCAGUUGGGCACUCUAGCGAGACUGCCGGUAAGUAAACCGGAGGAAGGUGGGGAUGACGUCAAAUCAUCAUGCCCCUUAUGACCUGGGCUACACACGUGCUACAAUGGCAGGUACAGAGGGCUGCGAAGCCGCGAGGUGAAGCGAAUCCCAGAAACCUGUCUCAGUCCGGAUUGAAGUCUGCAACUCGACUUCAUGAAGGCGGAAUCGCUAGUAACCGCGAAUCAGCAGGUCGCGGUGAAUACGUUCCCGGGCCUU
rnacentral:rRNA from 1 species